rnacentral:rRNA from 1 species
UACGUAGGGUGCUAGCGUUGUUCGGAAUCAUUGGGCGUAAAGCGCGUGUAGGCGGUCAAAUAAGUCUGAUGUGAAAGCCCUGGGCUCAACCGAGGAAGUGCAUUGGAAACUAUUUGACUAGAAGACGGUAGAGGAAGGUGGAAUUCCAAGUGUAGAGGUGAAAUUCGUAGAUAUUUGGAGGAAUACCGGUGGCGAAGGCGGCCUUCUGGGCCGAUCUUGACGCUGAGACGCGAAAGCGUGGGGAGCAAACAGGAUUAGAAACCCUAGUAGUCC